rnacentral:rRNA from 1 species
AUUGAACGCUGGCGGCAGGCCUAGCACAUGCAAGUCGAGCGGAUGAAGGGAGCUUGCUCCUGGAUUCAGCGGCGGACGGGUGAGUAAUGCCUAGGAAUCUGCCUGGUAGUGGGGGAUAACGUCCGGAAACGGGCGCUAAUACCGCAUACGUCCUGAGGGAGAAAGUGGGGGAUCUUCGGACCUCACGCUAUCAGAUGAGCCUAGGUCGGAUUAGCUAGUUGGUGGGGUAAAGGCCUACCAAGGCGACGAUCCGUAACUGGUCUGAGAGGAUGAUCAGUCACACUGGAACUGAGACACGGUCCAGACUCCUACGGGAGGCAGCAGUGGGGAAUAUUGGACAAUGGGCGAAAGCCUGAUCCAGCCGUGCCGCGUGUGUGAAGAAGGUCUUCGGAUUGUAAAGCACUUUAAGUUGGGAGGAAGGGCAGUAAGUUAAUACCUUGCUGUUUUGACGUUACCAACAGAAUAAGCACCGGCUAACUUCGUG